rnacentral:rRNA from 1 species
AUUGGUNNUGGGCGCAGCCUGAACCAGCCAUNCCGCGUGCAGGAUGAAGGCCUUCUGGGUUGUAAACUUCUUUUAUCUGGGAAGAAAAGCAUUGUAUCUACGAUGUCCGACGGUACCAGAGGAAUAAGCACCGGCUAACUCCGUGCCAGCAGCCGCGGUAAUACGGAGGGUGCAAGCGUUAUCCGGAUUUACUGGGUUUAAAGGGUGUGUAGGCGGGCAUUUAAGUCAGCGGUGAAAUCUCCGGGCUCAACCUGGAAACUGCCAUUGAUACUAUUUGUCUUGAAUUUUGUUGAGGUUGGCGGAAUAUGUCAUGUAGCGGUGAAAUGCAUAGAUAUGACAUAGAACUCCGAUUGCGAAGGCAGCUAACUAAGCAAAUAUUGACGCUGAGGCACGAAAGCGUGGGGAUCAAACAGGAUUAGAUACCCUGGUAGUCCACGCCCUAAACGAUGAUUACUCGACAUACGCGAUACACAGUGUGUGUCUGAGCGAAAGCAUUAAGUAAUCCACCUGGGAAGUACGACCGCAAGGUUGAAACUCAAAGAAAUUGACGGA